rnacentral:rRNA from 1 species
UACGUAGGGGGCAAGCGUUGUCCGGAUUCAUUGGGCGUAAAGAGCGUGUAGGCGGCCAGGUAGGUCGGUUGUGAAAACUGGAGGCUCAACCUUCAGAGGUCGACCGAAACCAUCUGGCUAGAGUCCGGGAGAGGAGAGUGGAAUUCCUGGUGUAGCGGUGAAAUGCGCAGAUAUCAGGAAGAACACCAGUGGCGAAGGCGACUUCCUGGCCUGUUCUUGACGCUGAGGCGCGAAAGCUAGGGGAGCAAACGGG